GAUGAACGCUGGCGGCGUGCCUAAUACAUGCAAGUCGAGCGAACAGACGAGGAGCUUGCUCCUCUGACGUUAGCGGCGGACGGGUGAGUAACACGUGGAUAACCUACCUAUAAGACUGGGAUAACUUCGGGAAACCGGAGCUAAUACCGGAUAAUAUAUUGAACCGCAUGGUUCAAUAGUGAAAGACGGUUUUGCUGUCACUUAUAGAUGGAUCCGCGCCGCAUUAGCUAGUUGGUAAGGUAACGGCUUACCAAGGCAACGAUGCGUAGCCGACCUGAGAGGGUGAUCGGCCACACUGGAACUGAGACACGGUCCAGACUCCUACGGGAGGCAGAAGUAGGGAAGCUUCCGCAAUGGGCGAAAGCCUGACGGAGCAACGCCGCGUGAGUGAUGAAGGUCUUCGGAUCGUAAAACGCUGUUAUUAGGGAAGAACAAAUGUGUAAGUAACUAUGCACGUCUUGACGGUACCUAAUCAGAAAACCACGGCUAACUACGU
rnacentral:rRNA from 1 species